rnacentral:lncRNA from 1 species
GGUUUUCUCCGGUUCAACUGUUGACGUAUGAAAUUAUGAGGUAGAACAUUCGAUUGCUUUAUUAAUAGGUAAAUAUUUCUUGAGCCACCAUAUGCAUAAUGCAUCGAUCCGUUGGAGUAGUUCUUUACAUGGUGUCCAGCUCAACUGCACGUUUCAUGCAUUCUUUUCCUUGGAUUACCUGUUUGUAGCGUGAGAAAAAUGAACAAUCACAUCUAACGUCUCGUCUAAUCACAUAACUAUCACAAGACUGCUAAUCUUUAUUAUUCAUUUUUUUAUCUUGUGCAAUGUACACUGUUGAAUAGUCGUGACAAGAUCGUGGGUGUGGAUAGCUCCGAACCUAAUCACAUAACUAUCACAAGACUAUUGAUCUUUAUUAUUCAUUUUUUUAUCACGUGCAAUGUACACUGUUGAAUAGUCGUGACAAGAUCGUGGGUGUGGAUAGCUCCGAACCUCCUCAUGUAGGAUGUAUGGAAAGAAAG